UACGUAGGUGGCAAGCGUUGUCCGGAAUUACUGGGCGUAAAGCGUGCGCAGGCGGUUCGCAAAGACAGGUGUGAAAUCCCCGGGCUUAACCUGGGAACUGCGCUUGUAACUAGCGGGCUAGAGUGCGGCAGAGGGGGGUGGAAUUCCACGUGUAGCAGUGAAAUGCGUAGAUAUGUGGAGGAACACCGAUGGCGAAGGCAGCCCCCUGGGCUAGUACUGACGCUCAUGCACAAAAGCGUGGGGAGCAAACAGG
rnacentral:rRNA from 1 species